rnacentral:lncRNA from 1 species
UUUCAGUUGAGAAGCAAUGCUGUUUCACCUCCCUGAGAGAAUUGCCUUGUUUGUGAAAUACUACAGAAAAACCUGUAUUUUCUCCAGAAAAUGAAAGGUCUUGGCCUGAGUAAAUCAAGGCAGAAAACUCACCCCCGUGAAAGCUGCAGCUCUGAGAGUGUGUGGGCAGGGCUUCAACAGAAUACCUGUGGCUGCACUUACAAAAGGCAGCCAGAAGGACCCGUCCAUUCUGGAAAGUACCUUUAGUCUGAAAGGUACAAAUCAGAACUUUCACCACAUUCCAUCUGGCACUCACUGGUGGUGCCAACACCUCAAAAACCCUGCCGGGGCCAUUUGUCACCAUGUGGACACAGACAGACCACCAGUGAAAGUGGAAUUUUUGAAUGAGCUUGAAUGACCUGCCUAUAUGUGUAGACAGCCAUGGUCACUUUUUCUCCGUAGGAUUAGAUGUGCUGAUUCUAAUGUGGUUCACAUUAGGCUAUUUUCUUUUAAAAGUGAAAUUUCUUUUGGAAGCCUGG